AUCAUGGCUGAGCAAUCUGACUCUGAAAAAUAUAAGGACCAACUUGGGAGUUUUAUCACAUUUCUGCCGCCCAGGCAUGAAGUCAGCUGGACUGCGCGUGACAGGGAGCGAUCCUCUUGUAAUUAGCCGGGGUGUUUUUCUUUCAUGUUCUGCCUAAAUUCGGUGUGCUGCGAGCGCGUCCGCUCCCUCCGAGCUGCCCCACAGCAGUAGCGGAGGAUGAACCAUGUGAAAGUGCCAGUUUUGUGAGUCACCAUUGUGUAUGGUUCAACCUGGUACCUGUCAGUUAUCCAGUCUCGUGUGCCGAUGUCACUGUCACCGUGAGGCGUGGUUCUCAUUUCUGAAUCUGGAUGAAUUGGCUGGAAGCUCAGGAAGGAGGUUUCUCUUCAGGAAAGAAAUGGAAGAAUAUAAGUGAUGACACACACCAAGAACACAAGACCUGCAGCUACUUACAACUUCUUUUAUGUGAGUCAGAAAUAAAUUUCUGUCUCACCCCCCAUUGUCGCCGGCAUCUUUUACUUAUAGUCUCAAGGUAACGCCUUACUAAUAUAGAACCUCA